rnacentral:lncRNA from 1 species
GAGAACACCAGGGCUCACUGUGUUACGGCCUUUUCAUUCUCCAGCACAGGGUUUUGUGGCUGCCUUCUCACUUAGAAAGAUAAGGUGAGCAAAAUAGGGGGUCAGGUAUGCCCCUUGCUCUGUCCAGGUGGGGCGGACUGAAGGUUGUCAAUUUCAGGAAGACUUGGAGCAAAUAAAGCCCGGGUUCAUUUCUAUUGUCAGCCUCUAGCUACACUUUCUGCAUCCCAAUAAUCCAAGCUAAAAGUCACAUAAUUCCUAUCUGGACUUUCUUUAAGAUCAUACCGUCUCUGCAGUGUACAGAUCUCCUGAGCUCCUAGACAAGGCUGGUGCAUAUUUCAUCUAUAGAAUUCUCUAGAGCACCAGAUUAUCCUGAAUGAUAUCAGAUCUUGAUUGGUACAAACUUGUCUUUUAGAGAUCUCACUGUCCAGCUAACUUUUUCAGUCAUAUCGUUGCAGUGUGUAAAUGUUCCUAUAAAUGACUGCUUGAAGCAUUUCCAAAAAAUAACUAAAAUUUUUAUUUUUUAAUUGGUUCUUUUUAGUUAUAUAUGAGAGUAGAAUCCAUUUUGAUGAAAAUAAUACAAGCAUGGAAUGUUAACUUAUUCUAAUUAGGACCCCAUUCUUGUGGGUGGACACAAUGGUGGGAUUCACUUAGGUAUUUUCAUAUGUGUACAUAGAAAGAUAUGUUAGACUUAUUCUACUGUCUUUCCUAUUCCUAUCCCCCUUCCCUUCCCUUCAUUCCCCUUUGUCUAAUCUACUGAAUUUCUAUUCUCACCUCCAGCUUUACUGUGGUUUAGCUUCCACGUAUCAGCCAAAGCAUUCAACUUUUGGUUAAAAUUUUUAUUUUAAAAUAUAGAAUACAGAAUUUAAUUAAUUUCCCCAAUUGAAUGCAUUAAAAUAAUUAAAUGAUUUUUGUAUAACAGUUUUACUGAAGUGUUAUUGACAUACAUUAGUGCCACAUUUGAAGUUUACAAUCUGACAGGUUUUGAUGUAUCCAAAAUCAUCAACACAGUCAAGACAAUGAGUGACCAUUGAAAGUUACCUCUUGCCCCUUGGUAAUCUUUCCUUCUUGUUCUCUCUCCCCCCUUCAAAACUUUCUCCCACCAUCCUUAGACAACCACUGAUCUGCUUUCUAUCAUUAUUAAUUGGUUUGUAUUUUUAGAAUGUUGUUUAAAUAGAAUUUUAUAGUAUGUCCUCUUUUUAGGUUGGGGUGGGAGGAGUCUGAGUUCUUUAAUUCAGCAUGAGUAUUUUGAUAUUCAUGCUGCCUUUAUAAAUAGCUCAUUUCUUUUUUAUUGCAGAUUAGUGUUCAAGAUUAUGAAUAUACCAAAAAUAUAUAUCCAUUUGCCUGUUUGGGUUGUUUCCCAUUUUGUGACUACUACAAAUAAAUGUCCUAUGAGCAAUCAUUUCCAAGUCUUUGUAUGAGCAAUCAUUUUUAAGUCUUUGUUUGGGCAUAUUCCAUUUUCCCCCCCUGGAUAAAUAUAUAAGAAUGGAUGGCCAUGUCAAGUGUUAGCUGUGUAUUUAAAUAUUUAAGAUAUUUCCCUUUUACAUUUCCAUCAACAGUGUUUGAGAUUUCCAGUUGCUCAACGUCAUUGCCAACAGUAUGGUCCAGCUAAUCUCUUUCACUUUAGCCAUUCUUACAGGGUAAUAUGGUAUCUCAUUAUGGUUUUCGUUUGCAUUUCCCUCUUCACUAAUCAUGUUGAACAGAUGUUCCUGUUACUAUUUGUCAUUCAUACCACUUCUUUGGUAAAGCAUCUGAUCACAUUUUUUGACCAUUUUUAAAAUUGAGUGUUUGUUUGCAUAUUAUAGUUUUGAGUGUGCUUUACAUAGAAAUUAUGGAUAUGAGUCUUUUAUCAGAUAUAUGAUUUAUAAAUAUUUUCUUCCGUGCAGUAAUUUGUCUUUUUACUCUCCUAAAGUGUUUUAGAAAGAGCAGAAGUUUUCAAUUUUGAGAAGCCAAAUUUGAUGUUUUAGUGGACUAUAAUUUGGGUGGUAUAGCUAAAGAAAGCUUUGCUUAGCUCUUCAUCACAAAGAUUUUCCUCCUAUGGUUUCUUCUAGAAGCUUUAUAAUUGUAGGUUCAUUAAUUAGGUCUAGGAUUCAUUUUGAGUCAAUUUUUUGAUGGUGUGAAAUAUAAAUUGUAGUUUAUUUUUUGCAUAUGAAUAUCUAAUUUGUCUGGCACCAUAUGCUGAAAAAAAUUAUAUCCAGGGGACUGUUUGUGUACUUUUGUUGAAAACCAAUUGACCAUUUAUGUGUGAAUCUAUUCCUGGACUCUCUAUUUUGUUUAAUUACUCUAUUCAUUUUUUCUUAAGCCAGUACCACAUGUGCUGAUUUCUGGCAACUUUAAAGUUAGAUAGUGUGAAUUCUUUUCAAGAUUGUUUUGGCUAUUCUAGGUCCUUUGCAAUUCUAUACAAAUAAUGUAAUUUGUCUGUUAGUUCUUCAAAAGCAGUGUGCUAGAAUUUUGAUGAGGGUUGUAUUAAAUCUAUAAAUGAAUUUGGGCAGUGAUAUCAUAAUAAUAUUGAUUCCUUCAACCAUGAAAACAGUAUAACUCUCCAUUUACUUAUUUUGGUAUUCUCUAAUUUCUCUUGUAAGGGUAAAAGAAAUUGAAGUUAAAGUGUAAAAGUUAAAGUGUAAAAGACCGGGCAUUGUAAAGUUUCUAAGCUGCAAGGCCUGAGUUAAAAUGUAAAGGACUAGGUAUUGUUAAGUUCCUAUGCUACAUGCAAAACCUGAAAUUCCUGUAGCUGUUAAGACAAUGCUUGGAACCGCCCAGUAAAUAUUUCCCCUGACCGCCUGGUUGUUUAAUAACUUAAGGGCUCUGUGUGGUCUUGCAUGUAGGCAUCGCAGGGCCUAAACCAAUCAGUUUGAAUGUGUACCCAGCUUUAGAACUGACCUAUCACCCCCGCCCGACCUGUUCCCGCCAAUGUAUGUACUAAUCAAGUCUAAGAAUUGUUGUUUGACUUUCCCGCGGUGUAUGAUGAUUUGUUAAAGGAGACUGUGAUGUAUGUAAAGUCCCGCCCUCCCCAAAAAAGUGUACUUAAGCAGUGCUCAGCCCCUGCUCUGGGCUCUGGGCUGCUCUCUUUUCUCGAGUGGGCACGGAGCCCCAGCAUGCUGGAAUCUCAAUAAACCCCUUUUGCUGUUGCAUGAGUCGCGGUCCCUUGGUGGUCUCUUCCUCCCACGUUCGCCGGACCCUUACAUUUGGUGCGUUGGCCGGGAACAGCGCAUCGCCGGACAAGGAGACCCCAACGGACUCCUUUAGGGGGUAAGUAAGGCGCCUCUUCUUCUUCUUCCUCUUCUUCUCCUCCUUGUUUUUUCCUUUGCGAUCGCUCAGAGCUUUUUGGUUCAGGUUUGGUUUUUGGCUUGGAUUGGUUGGUUGGGUUGGCAGCGUGGCUGCCGGCCGAGAGCGUAAGUUCUCCCUGGCGGUGGUGGACAGACGUGUCCUGAAGCCACAGGCCACUCCUCCUAAGGGACGCCUUGGAGGAUUCAGGGAGGGACGAAAGUGCCCUCAGUUGGUAGAGGGACAAAAGUGCCCUCGUGUGUACUCUGCUGCCAACCCGUUUGGUUUCGCCGGCAAUUCUUUCUCUCAGAUUGGAUUCACAGUCUGUCUUUAAUCUUUGCCUCUAAACUUGUGUUACACGUUUACUGUGUGUGUCCGUGUUUGUGUCACUUUUGUCUUGUCUCUGUUUUUGUUUGAGUAACUCUCAUUGUGAGACAAAGCCAUUCCACGCCUCUGUCCCUGACCCUUGAUCCCGCUCAAGGGCCCAGAAUCUUUCUUCUUCAGUGAAAUGCUGGACCUGGUAGGACCUCUGCGAAUUGCUUCCUGCACGGGCGGGGUCCGCGCAGUCCUCCGGGAGGAUUCAACUCUGCAGUACUGCGGAUCUUUCCCGCCCCCGUUCCUCCCGGCCCCUCCACCCAUCUGUCCUCUCCGCCCCUUCACAGUCUCCGAGAGGGGGGUGCUC